rnacentral:lncRNA from 1 species
ACUGUCAGGCGAGCUACGGCUCGGGCCAGGCUGGGCGGGCGGCGCGUCGGGACCGGGGGGGGCGGGCAGGGCGCGUCCCCUACCUUGCUCUGGGGAGGGGGAACGGGAGCAGCGCAGAACUGAGGGGAUCUCCUCCCUGGCGCCGGGGACAAGCUCGAAACCGCGCCCCUCCUUCCUCCUUUCCUGUCGCCACGCCCCCCUCACCCGUACGGACCCGAGGCAAGGCCGGCGCAGGAGGCUUCACCCCCGGAACGAGUGCUUCGGCGUAGCCGUCGCUGUCGUUGUCUUCGUCGCCGCUGCAGCCGCCUGUAAAGCCGCCGGAGCCGGGCUUGAAAACAUCUCCGGUCUCGGUCCGUCUCUCACCACAGCCUCCUCGCUCCCAGGACAGCGUCGCCCCGCGAUUGGCUGCGACGCGAGCACGUGACACCCGCGGACACGUGACUACCGCGGGCACGGGACGGGCGGCGUGACCGCCCCGCCCCCCGGCGCCCGCCCCUCCUGCUGCUCAGCCAGGCUCCGCGAGCCGCAGGGCGGGGAAGCGGGACGUACCAAGCGGCAGGCGGCGGAGGGGUGCGGGCCGGAACUCCGCCCUUCGUGCUGGUCGGUCUCCACGCCCCACUCGGACUAGUGUCACCGCCUCCCCGCCGCAGACACUAUCCGACAAAGGAGGGGGAAUCAAAGGCUGGGCGAAGAGGCAGGGCAGGCGCCGGUGACGCUGCUGGGCAAGCGGGCUCUGCAGUAGCAUUUGUGGCGACCGUGGCAGUGGCUGUGACUGGAAGCUUCUGGAAAUGGCGGCGAUGAGGACCCCCACAUAGGGAUGGCCAUAGCAGCCACAAAAGGAAGCAAACAAGAACAAGUCCUGAUGGAGCAAUUUAUGAAGACAGGCAGCAUAGAGGGAGAAGAACCUGUCUGUCAACCCCACACACGCUUUCCCAGACGUCUCCUGAAAGCUGAGCAUUUGUUAUCUUAAAGCCUCUUACCAGUUUGGAUAGAUAUGGAUCUUCCAAAAUUAAUGAGCUCCUUAAUAUCGACACUGUUUAUCAACAUAAAGGAUCAAUUUAGGAAGAUUAUAAAAACUGAAGUUUCCGGAACAAUAAAUGGGAGAAUUAAUCGAGAGUUAUUUUACAAAUGGAGAUUCAAAGCCAAGAUUCACCCACCUAACAUCACACACACGAGUCAAUAGGAGAACCAGGACAACCCAGAUCUGCUGACUUGUGUACCUUCCUGCCAC